rnacentral:rRNA from 1 species
UUUAUGCCGGCGAUGAUACAUACAAAUUUCUGCUCAAUUAACUGUCGAUGGUAGUGUAGUGGACUACCAUGGUGAUAAUUGAUAACGGGGGAUUAGGGUUCGAUUCCGGAGAGGUAGCCUGAGAAAUGGCUACCACUUCCAAGGAAGGCAGCAGGCGCGCAAAUUACCCAAUGCUAACUCAGCGAGGUAGUGACAAGAAAUACCAAUACAAUGCCAAUGGUGUUGUGUUUGGAAUGAGAGUAAUCUAAACAUUUACUCGAGGAACAAUUGGAGGGCAAGUCUGGUGCCAGCAGCCGCGGUAAUUCCAGCUCCAAUAGUGUAUAUUAAAGUUGUUGCAGUUAAAAAGCUCGUAGUUGGAUAUCGGUAACUGACAUGAGUGUCUACACUAUAUGUGUACGUACACAAAUGCAGUACCUUCUUUCUGGCAGUAAUUUUAUAUUGCUCCAGAUAUUUUACUUUGAGAAGAUUAGAGUGUUCAAAGCAGGCGUAACAUUGCCUUUGAAUAUAUUAGCAUGGGAUAAUGAAAUAAGACUUUUGCCUUAUUCUCGCUGGUUCUUUUAGGCUUAAGUAAUGAUUAAUAGGGACAGUUGGGGUUAUCUGUAUUUGAUCGCCAGAGGUGAAAUUCUAAGACUGAUCAAAGACAAACUACUGCGAAAGCAUUUAACAAGGAUGUUUUCAUUAAUCAAGAACGAAAGUUGGGGGAUCGAAGAUGAUCAGAUACCGUCGUAGUCCCAACCAUAAACUAUGUCGACCAAGGAUUCGAAAUCGUUACAUGAAUGACCUCUCGGGCACUUAUAGAGAAAUCAUAAGUAUUUGGAUUCCGGGGGGAGUAUGGUCGCAAGGCUGAAACUUAAAGAAAUUGACGGAAGGGCACCACAAGGAGUGGAAUAUGCGGUUUAAUUUGACCCAACACGGGAAAACUUACCAGGUCCAGACACAAGGAGGAUUGACAGAUUGAGAGCUCUUUCUUAAUUUUGUGGGUGGUGGUGCAUGGCCGUUUCUAGUUGGUGGAGUGAUUUGUCUGGUUAAUUCCGUUAACGAACGAGACCUUAACCUAUUAAAUAGUAACAUCUACUUGGAUAAUUUACUUCCAGCAGUAGGUGGUUUACUUCUUAGAGGUACUCUUCACGUAAAGAGUGAAUGGAAGUUUGAGGCAAAAACAGGUCUGUGAUGCCCUUAGAUGUUCUGGGC